rnacentral:lncRNA from 1 species
GGCUUGUGCUGUCACAUUUCCUUCCUGUAGGGAGGGGGUGGGGAGCUGGAGCCUGGAAGGGCCGGGACGGGGAGGGAGACUACCCAGGUGGAAGGCGGUGCAGAAGGUUGCUGGAGAGAAGACGCCCCGGGCAUUUUCUAGUGACGUCGUCUAGGCCGUAUCUACCUUCUGGUGGAAAGAACGUGGACUUUGGAGUCCCAUAGCCCUGGACUCCAAUUCGGUGGGUCGAAUACCUAGCUUUGUGACCCUU